GAUGGGGCCUGGCUCCUCCACAUACAUAACAGUUAGUCUUAUUAUGUGAGUUGGCGUUAUAUCUCAUCCAUUCUAGCCACAAAUUAGUGUCUGAAAACCCAGUCUCUACUGUCAUAGUGUCUUCAAAGGUGGGAUUGGCUAUAGCUACCAUGUCAUGUAGAGUCUUAAUAUGUGGUUUUAACGUGUUAAUAGUCAUGUGAGUGGUUCCUACCCAGUCUGGUGAGGUGAGCCUUUUUGCUAGGUAUGUCUUUGUAUAUGGCUGCAUAUUGUGUUUGUGGAAAAGGUGCAAACAACUAUGUCACAGUAAUCAAAGGUGUAUGUAGCUACAUCUGUGUUAGAAGAAUUGUACCAGAAAAGUGUAAACAUGAUUAUCUUUGGUUAUGGCCGCUUGUUGGGCCCAGGUAAAGUGUAGCAGCAUAAGAAAACACAAGACACAUAAUAAAUUCAUAUUUCAGCAAGAUUAGCCUCUUCAGGAGCAGGCACUUUUUUGCAAUGUGAGGCGUGUAUAAGAAGUCUUCCCGGCUAGUUUAACUGACGUUGCUGUAAUCAGGAGCACUUGAUAUGGGCCAUCAAAUCUUGGUUCUAGGGUGUGUUUCCUGAGAAACUUCUUGACCAUAACCCAAUCACCAGGAAGCAGCUUGUGUGUACCUGUAUUUGACUCAGGAUCUGGAAUAGAAGAAAACACUUGGGCAUGUAUUUUGGUCAAGGCAUGUGAGAGGGCAGUCACAUAGUCUACCAUAGCAUCUGACUGAAUCUGAAGCUGUUGGGGAAAGUAACAACCUAACCUGGGUGCUGUACCAAACAAAAUCUCAUAAGGUGAUAGGCUAUAUUUUCCCCUAGGAUUGUACCUUACACUAAACAACGCUAAUGGGAGACUCUCGGGCCAGGGCAUGUUAGUUUCUUGUGACAUUUGAAGCAUUCUGGCUUUCAAAGUGCCAUUCAUGCGCUCUACCUUACCACUACCCUGUGGGUGAUAUGGUGUGUGGAAUGCAAGGGUCACCCCCAGUGCUGGCCAGACUUCCCGUGUUAGUGAGGCAGUGAAGGAGGUCCCUUGGUCACUUUCAAUUACUUCUGGAACUCCAUAGCGGCAAACAAUUUCUGUCAAGAGAUACUUGGCUGUAGUCCUCGCGGUGAGAUUAGUCACUGGGAAGGCCUCUGGCCAUCCUGAAAACAUGUCCACUAUGACCAAUGCAUAUUCAUAACGUCCAC